UGCCCCAUGGCUGAGUUGGUUACAGCGUCCGACUGUUAUGGAGUCAUGGCAUCGGAAGGUCGUGAGUUCGAGCCUCACUGGGGCAG
rfam:Neolentinus lepideus HHB14362 ss-1 unplaced genomic scaffold NEOLEscaffold_62, whole genome shotgun sequence.